rnacentral:lncRNA from 1 species
CUCCAAGGUAUAAGCGAUUCUCCUGCCUCAGCCUCCCGACUAGCUGGGAUUACAGGCAUUCACCACCAAGCCCGUCCAAUUUUGUAUUUUUAGUAGAGACGGGAUGUCCCCAUGUUGGUCAGGUUGGUCUCGAGCUCCCGACCUCAGGUGAUCGCCCGCCUCGACCUCCCAAAGUGCUGGGAUUACAGGCGUGAACCACCGUGCCCGGCCUUGCCCGCAUGUGUUUUGAAUUUUGCUGCCCGGAAUUCACUGCGAGGACUGGGAUCACCCGUCGCCCCGCCCUGGUCUACGGAAAAUGAAAUGUGUUUACUGAUACAGAAACGGAAUAACGGCGCUGUGGGCUGGGGAGGGCCGAGCUGCCUUCAGGCUUCUGGUCUCCAGCUGCAGGGCACUCACACCUGCCCGCUAUGAAAAUGCAGACCCGCGGGGCAGGAAUUCCGAGUCGGGGCUGGAGCGCGAUCUGGAAUCCGGCUCUCUUGAAACAGCACCGCGGAGGAUUCGGAUCCGGGCUCUGACCGGCAGACCCAGGCUGCACGAUGGAUGAAUAACGUACUCAGACACCGAUAUUCAGUGAAAGAGUGCACCAGAGGGCCAGGCCACUCACAGAAAGGGUUGUGGCAGCUGCGUGCCCUGACUAUCUGGCCCUGUGGGCCUUUAUUCAGCACAGAUUUAAUGACAAAGGCUUUGAGUCAACACACCUGUGGAUAAUUAAUCUGGUCGCAGUCCCCCGGAGAGAGCAGUCCUACAAAUGAUCAAAGCAAAGAGAUUCACAGUGUGAGCGAGAUUCAACGUGAGGGGCUUCCUCCACUGUGAGCUUUGAAAAUGGAGGGGCCAUGUGGCAAAGGAUAUGGCGGGCUCCAGGAAUUGAGAACAGCUCCACCCCACCUCCACCUGACAGCUGCCCAGGAACAAGGACUACAAUCCCACAACUGCCUGAAACUGAAUUCUGCCACCAAGCUCUGUAUAAGCUUGAAGGAGGACCCCAGCCUCAAGAUGAGGACACAGCUUCGUGAAAUCCUGAACUGAGAAUCAUUCACACCAGGCCUGGAUUUCUCAUUAAGGAAAUGUAGAGAAAUAAAUGGGUGCUGUGUAGAGCCAGUGAGUUAGUGGUAAUACGU